UGAACGCUAGCGGCAGGCUUAACACAUGGCAAGGUCGAGGGGCAGCGAGAGAGUAGCAAUACGUUUGUCGGCGACCGGCGGACGGGUGCGUAACGCGUAUGCAACCUACCUUAUACAGGGGAUAACCUUUCGAAAGGGAGACUAAUACCGCAUAACAUUACUUUGAGGCAUCUUGAGGUAAUUAAAUCUUCGGAGGUAUAAGAUGGGCAUGCGUAGCAUUAGCUAGAUGGUGCGGUAACGGCGUACCAUGGCGACGAUGCUUAGGGGUUCUGAGAGGAAGGUCCCCCACACUGGUACUGAGAUACGGACCAGACUCCUACGGGAGGCAGCAGUGAGGAAUAUUGGUCAAUGGUCGGAAGACUGAACCAGCCAUGCCGCGUGCAGGAAGAAUGUCUUAUGGAUUGUAAACUGCUUUUGUAUGGGCUAAUAAUAACUUUGCGAAGUUAGAUGCAGGUACCAUACGAAUAAGGAUCGGCUAACUCCGUG
rnacentral:rRNA from 1 species